rnacentral:rRNA from 1 species
CCUACGGGGGGCUGCAGUGGGGAAUAUUGGACAAUGGGGGGAACCCUGAUCCAGCCAUGCCGCGUGUGUGAAGAAGGCCCUCGGGUUGUAAAGCACUUUCAGUGAGGAAGAACGCCUGGUGGUUAAUACCCAUCAGGAAAGACAUCACUCACAGAAGAAGCACCGCCUAACUCCGUGCCAGCAGCCGCGGUAAUACGGAGGGUGCGAGCGUUAAUCGGAAUUACUGGGCGUAAAGCGCGCGUAGGUGGCUUGAUAAGCCGGUUGUGAAAGCCCCGGGCUCAACCUGGGAACGGCAUCCGGAACUGUCAAGCUAGAGUGCAGGAGAGGAAGGUAGAAUUCCCGGUGUAGCGGUGAAAUGCGUAGAGAUCGGGAGGAAUACCAGUGGCGAAGGCGGCCUUCUGGACUGACACUGACACUGAGGUGCGAAAGCGUGGGUAGCAAACAGGAUUAGAUACCCCAGUAGUC